rnacentral:rRNA from 1 species
UACGAAGGGGGCUAGCGUUGCUCGGAUUUACUGGGCGUAAAGGGCGCGUAGGCGGACAGUUUAGUCAGAGGUGAAAGCCCAGGGCUCAACUUGGAAUUGCCUUGAUACUGGCUGUCUUGAGUACGGGAGAGGUGAGUGGAACUCCGAGUGUAGAGGUGAAAUUCGUAGAUAUUCGGAAGAACACAGUGGCGAAGGCGACUCACUGGCCCGGUUACUGACGCUGAGGCACGAAAGCGUGGGGAGCAAACAGG